rnacentral:precursor_RNA from 10 species
UCUGUCUUUACCUGGAGUGAGGUGUGGUAGCUUGGCACUGUCUGAGCGCAGGUGUUUACUGACUUACCUGUGUCACUCAGUGUCAAACAAUGAUUCCUCUAAUGCAGCGGUCAUUGAUG